rnacentral:rRNA from 1 species
UACCAAAAACAUCGCCUCCUGCAACAUAGAGUAUAGGAGGUCCAGCCUGCCCAGUGACUACGGGUUCAACGGCCGCGGUAUAUUGACCGUGCAAAGGUAGCGCAAUCACUUGUCUUUUAAAUAAAGACCUGUAUGAAUGGCUAGACGAGGGCUUAACUGUCUCCCCCCUCCAGUCAGUGAAAUUGAUCUAUCCGUGCAGAAGCGGGUAUAAUUCUACAAGACGAGAAGACCCUUUGGAGCUUAAGGUACAAAGUUCAAUCACGUCAAACAACUUGAUGAAAAGCCAGAACUUAGUGACUAUGAAACUUUCUUCGGUUGGGGCGACCACGGAGGAAAAGCAAGCCUCCGAGUGGACUGGGCCAAAACCCUAAAACCAAGAGGAACAUCUUUAAGCCGCAGAACAUCUGACCAAUAAUGAUCGCCAAGAGGCCGAUCAACGAACCAAGUUACCCUAGGGAUAACAGCGCAAUCCUCUCCCAGAGCCCAUAUCGACGAGGGGGUUUACGACCUCGAUGUUGGAUCAGGACAUCCUGGUGGUGCAGCCGCUAUUAAGGGUUCGUUUG